rnacentral:lncRNA from 1 species
UUUUUUUUUUAAUGUACUGUUCUUCUAGAAAAUUAGCACAAGAUACUAUGGAACAAACAUGUUUUGACCAAUGCUGAGCUAAGGGAGCUUCACAUGAAAGCCUACAAAUAUGAGGAGGAAAAACCUAGCCACGGCACAUUUCCAACAAUUUCUUAAUAAUUCCUCUUUUCUUAACCACAGAAAUAAAUCAGAGCCUUUAAAAGUUACCUUACAGAUACCAGCUUCUCAGAAAUUAUUUUGCAGUUACGUGAGAGUAUGUGCCUUCACAAUGUCAGCACCAACAUCUUUAGUAUUUUAAGAGGAAAAGUCAAGUCCACUGAAGGAAUUUAACAGAUUUUUCCAGAAACACUUAAGACAUCUAUAAUUAGGUUUUAAAAGGAGUGACAGAAUGUCUUGAAUCACAAAUUAAUCUGAAUUCAGGACAAUAAUAACUUUAACUCUUACCCACUUUUAUAAGCCAUUAUUCCCAUUAAUGGCUGACAAUCUAUAUUUCCCAAUUUCCAUGCCAAAUGAGCUGAGCUUCCAUUCUUUUGAGGAUGAAAAACAGAAUGACUUCUGAAGGAUCUGCUAUUUGCCAGUAUAUCAGUUAACUUUUGCUGCCUAACAGCUUGCUACCAAAACUUAGUGGCUAAAAACAACAUCUAUUGAACUGUUAGAAGGUGAUAGACCAUUAUCAAUAUGUGAAACAAACAAAAAACACAAGGCUCAACUUAUUUAAAAUAUCAGCUUUAUUACCAAGGAUGACUGUGCUGCAGGAGGCGGCUCAGUGUGAAGAACUACGGGUUUCCUGAUGUUGAAGCUCAGAAUUAGCCACACUGACCUUCUCAGUCAUGCAUGAUGCCAGGAAAAUCACAGGCUUCCAUUCUACAGUGAAGGGCUUGGAGGAGCAGGCAAUAAU